AAUGAACGUUGGCGGCGUGGAUUAGGCAUGCAAGUCGAGCGAGUACCGUAGCAAUACGGGGACAGCGGCGAAAGGGACAGUAAUGUGUAGGUACCUACCCCCGGGUUCGGGAUAGCUGCGGGAAACUGCAGGUAAUACCGAAUAAUGUCUUCGGACCAAAGGUGUGAUUCCACCUGGGGAGGGGCCUGCAUCCUAUUAGCCUGGUGGUGGGGUACCGGCUUACCAAGGCUAAGACGGGUAUGGGGCGUGAGAGCGUGCCCCCACUCACUGGGACUGAGACACUGCCCAGACACCUACGGGUGGCUGCAGUCGAGAAUCUUCGGCAAUGGGCGCAAGCCUGACCGAGCGACGCCGCGUGCGGGAUGAAGGCCUUCGGGUUGUAAACCGCUGUCGUAGGGGAGGAAGAUCCUGUGAAGAACAGGGUUUGACCGAUCCUAGGAGGAAGGGCCGGCUAAUCUCGUGCCAGCCGCCGCAGUAA
rnacentral:rRNA from 1 species